UACGGAGGGUGCAAGCGUUAUCCGGAUUUACUGGGUUUAAAGGGUGCGUAGGUGGGCAGGUAAGUCAGUGGUGAAAUCCCCGAGCUUAACUCGGGAACUGCCAUUGAUACUAUCUGUCUUGAAUAUCCUGGAGGUAAGCGGAAUAUGUCAUGUAGCGGUGAAAUGCUUAGAUAUGACAUAGAACACCCAUUGCGAAGGCAGCUUACUACGGGAUUAUUGACACUGAGGCACGAAAGCGUGGGGAGCAAACAGG
rnacentral:rRNA from 1 species